UGUCACCUUAAUGAUAGUCUUUCAAUCCAUGAACAUGGAACGUAUCCAUGUUUGUUUAAGUCAUCUUCAGUUUUUCUAAGCAGUUUUGUUGUUUUCAAUAUAUAAGUCUUAAAUUUAUUCCUUAAUAUUUCAUUCUUACUGAGUGAAUUUCGCCAUGAGCAUGUUAAAUUUGCAGUAUCUGUAAGACGUUAUAGGUGGAAGUGUCCAAUGGGCUGUUGAACCUCAGGAGAAGGAUCUGAGCUAGAUUUGAGAGUAGCCAGCAUGUAGGUGGGAAUGGAAGUCCGGGGUUUGGAUGACGUUGCCCACAAACAGCAGGGCAGAAUGAAAAAAAGAUGACAAUGCAUAGAAAUCUAGGAAGCACCAACAUUCACCAGACAGGCACGAGAAGAGAGCUAGUUGCCCAUAGUGGAGGCAAAGAGGAACAUGUGAUAAGGAGAACAUUUCAAGGACAUGUCAAGAAGCAGUGUCAUAUUGUUGUGGAGAAGGCAAACUGAAAUAUAGCCUGAGAAGCUAAUUGGUGAUCUUAAUGAGGACACUUUCAGCAGCAUGGGGUUUGUGUAUGUGGGGGCUGGGGGUAGAAACCAGAUGGUGGAGGAUUGGAAUGAGUGGAUGUUCUGCCUUGUUCACCAUUGUGACUCAGGUGCUUGGCACUUCGGUGCUUAUUAAAUAUUUAAAUGAAUGAGGAAGUAGAGACAAUGCUUUCAAAAGCUAAGGCUAAAGGAAGGAAAGAAGAAUAGUUAGAGGAGAGAGUUAGGUUGAAGGGAGGAUUUUUUUUUUAAUUUUAGGAGAAAGUUGAGUAUAUUUGUAUGAAAAAGGAACAGAAGCUAUAGAGAGGGAGAGGUUGAAGAUACAGUGAGAGUGGCUGAUUGAUGGAGCUGUGAUUCAGAGGGGACCAGCGGGAGUGGGAUUUAGACCAUACUAUUUUCAAAAAGGAAAAAAUUGUGGAGAAGUGUUUGUAACUAUUAGAAUUGAUGAUUUAAGAUACUUAUUAAAAAUAUAUAGCACAUUCCAAGCCACUGGUUAUUGUUGCUGAAUUUGAAAAGACCUUUAGGCUAAUGCUACAUUAAAAAUGAGGUAGGGGAAAAUUAUAGAUGCCUUGUGUGUUAUGAAAUGAACUAUAUUUUUUAUUUUUUAUGUUACUACUUUCAAACAGCAAGAUUUCAUCUCUCUUUUGCUGUGUUACUAAAGCAUCUUUGUACCUAGAUGACAAAUUCAGAUGGAUUUAGUAUAUUUUCAGCCUUCCCUCCCCUCCAUUUUGAGCUGCAUUUGGUAUGGUCCCAGACCGGUGCAUACAUCUUUGCACACUAGAGCCCCUGAGAGCUUGCAUUCUGCUUUUAUAGAGGCAGUAGAUUCCAAUGUAUGUCUGCUUAAGCCAUCAGCAAAAAACAGGCUUACUACAAUUUCUUUGGAAAAACCUGCUUCUGGCUUCAGCCUCACUUCCUUUGUUCUACAUCUCAGAAGAUGCACGUGAGGGCAGCUGCCUGGUAACUGGAGGCUUCACUUGACCAGCACUGAGCUUCUGUUCACUCAUUCAGGUCUCACAUCCAUGUCAUCUCCAGGACUCACCGAAAAUAGUCAGAGGGAUCCCUCUGAACUAGAAGCAG